rnacentral:rRNA from 1 species
GAUGAACGCUGGCGGCGUGCCUAAUACAUGCAAGUCGAGCGAACAGACGAGGCGCUUGCUCCUCUGACGUUAGCGGCGGACGGGUGAGUAACACGUGGAUAACCUACCUAUAAGACUGGGAUCACUUCGGGAAACCGGAGCUAAUACCGGAUAAUAUAUUGAACCGCAUGGUUCAAUAGUGAACGACGGUUUUGCUGUCACUUAUUGAUGGAUCCGCGCCGCAUUAGCUAGUUGGUAAGGUAACGGCUUACCAAGGCAACGAUGCGUAGCCGACCUGAGAGGAUGAUCGGCCACACUGGAACUGAGACACGGUCCAGACUCCUACGGGAGGCAGCAGUAGGGAAUAUUCCGCAAUGGGCGAAAGCCUGACGGAGCAACGCCGCGUGAGUGAUGAAGGUCUUCGGAUCGUAAAACUCUGUUAUUAGGGAAGAACAAAUGUAUAAGUAACUAUGCACGUCUUGACGGUACCUAAUCAGAAAGCCACGGCUAACUACGUG